rnacentral:rRNA from 1 species
CAGCAGCCGCGGUAACACGAAGGGUGCAAGCGUUACUCGGAAUUACUGGGCGUAAAGCGUGUGUAGGUGGUUGUUUAAGUCUGUCGUGAAAGCCCUGGGCUCAACCUGGGAAUUGCGAUGGAUACUGGGCGACUAGAGUGCGGUAGAGGAUAGUGGAAUUUCCGGUGUAGCAGUGAAAUGCGUAGAGAUCGGAAGGAACAUCUGUGGCGAAGGCGACUAUCUGGGCCAACACUGACACUGAGACACGAAAGCGUGGGGAGCAAACAGGAUUAGAUACCCCAGUAGUCCCUGUCUCUUAUAC